rnacentral:rRNA from 1 species
CCUACGGGUGGCAGCAGUGAGGAAUAUUGGUCAAUGGGCGCGAGCCUGAACCAGCCAAGUAGCGUGAAGGAUGACUGCCCUACGGGUUGUAAACUUCUUUUAUAAAGGAAUAAAGUGAGGCACGAGUGCCUUUUUGUAUGUACUUUAUGAAUAAGAAUCGGCUAACUCCGUGCCAGCAGCCGAGGUAAUACGGCGGAUCCGAGCGUUAUCCGGAUUGAUUGGGUUUAAUGGGAGCGUAGAUGGGUUGUUAUGUCAGGUGUGAAAGCUUGCGGCUCAACCGUAAGAUUGCAAUUGAUACUGGCAGUCUGGAGUGCAGUUGAGGUAGGCGGAAUUCGUGGUGUAGCGGUGAAAUGCUUAGAUAUCACGAAGAACUCCGAUUGCGAAGGCAGCUUACUAAACUGCCACUGACAUUGAUGCUCGAAAGUGUGGGUAGCAAACAGGAUUAGAUACCCGAGUAGUC